rnacentral:rRNA from 1 species
CGGAUGGGCAUGCGUGACAUUAGCUUGUUGGCGGGGUAACGGCCCACCAAGGCGACGAUGUCUAGGGGUUCUGAGAGGAAGGUCCCCCACACUGGUACUGAGACACGGACCAGACUCCUACGGGAGGCAGCAGUGAGGAAUAUUGGUCAAUGGGCGAGAGCCUGAACCAGCCAAGUCGCGUGAAGGAUGACGGCCCUACGGGUUGUAAACUUCUUUUGUCAGGGAGCAAUUGAGUCCACGUGUGGGCUUAGCGAGAGUACCUGAAGAAAAAGCAUCGGCUAACUCCGUGCCAGCAGCCGCGGUAAUACGGAGGAUGCGAGCGUUAUCCGGAUUUAUUGGGUUUAAAGGGUGCGUAGGCGGAAUAUCAAGUCAGCGGUAAAAAUUCGGGGCUCAACCCCGUCGUGCCGUUGAAACUGAUGUUCUUGAGUGGGCGAGAAGUAUGCGGAAUGCGUGGUGUAGCGGUGAAAUGCAUAGAUAUCACGCAGAACUCCGAUUGCGAAGGCAGCAUACCGGCGCCCAACUGACGCUGAAGCACGAAAGCGUGGGUAUCGAACAGGAUUAGAUACCCUGGUAGUCCACGCAGUAAACGAUGA